rnacentral:rRNA from 1 species
UGGGGAAUAUUGCACAAUGGGGGAAACCCUGAUGCAGCGACGCCGCGUGAGCGAGGAAGUAUUUCGGUAUGUAAAGCUCUGUCAGCAGGGAAGAAUUUAUGACGGUACCUGAAGAAGAAGCACCGGCUAAAUACGUGCCAGCAGCCGCGGUAAUACGUAUGGUGCAAGCGUUAUCCGGAUUUACUGGGUGUAAAGGGAGCGCAGGCGGUCCUGCAAGUCUGGUGUGAAAGCCCGGGGCUCAACCCCGGGACUGCACUGGAAACUGUAGGACUGGAGUGUCGGAGGGGUAAGCGGAAUUCCUGGUGUAGCGGUGAAAUGCGUAGAUAUCAGGAGGAACACCGGUGGCGAAGGCGGCUUACUGGACGAUGACUGACGCUGAGGCUCGAAAGCGUGGGGAGCAAACAGGAUUAGAUACCC